GGAGUCAUGGCUCAGUGGUAGAGUGCUUACCUAGCAUGUGAGAGACACUGGGUUUGAUUCUCAGCACCA
rnacentral:tRNA from 1 species